rnacentral:rRNA from 1 species
GUCUACGGCCACACCACCCUGAAUGCGCCCGAUCUCGUCUGAUCUCGGAAGCUAAGCAGGGUCGGGCCUGGUUAGUACUUGGAUGGGAGAAAUUAUUUUUAAAGCCAGCCUGUAUAUU